UUACAGCCGGUUUCCGAAACGUUAUUCAAAUCUUCGAUCAUCUAAUCGAGCUGUUAGAUUUGAUCAACUGUUAACCAGUGACGAGUUUCUCAAACGUCGAUCAUCUUAAAAUUAUAUGAUCGUAGAAAAUCGAUUAUCUGACAUACGAUUUGGUAUCGAUACUGUCACAAUCGGCUGUCAUCCUUCAAAAUUUCAUUUUAUAACCAAAAAAUUUCAAUCCAUAGUAAAUAACUACAUAAUUUAUAUAAUUAAAAAAUAUAUUAAAAAUGAGCAAUACAAACGGAAAUCCUCCACGCAAAAAUUAUACUGAGAGAGAGAGAGAAAUGUUUGCUGUUGGAAAUAAUUGGAAAAUACAACCAUAUUAUAAUUGAAAACAAAUAAUGUACCAAUGCUAUGUCCACCAACCAAAACAAUGAAACCUGGGAAAAAAUAGCGCUGAAUUUCCCAGAACUCCCAAGCAGCUGAACACUGCAUAUAUAAACUUAAAAAGGGUCACUAGCCAAAAAGUAGCAGAGGAAAAUAUUCAAAAAUAUAAUGAGCAGAAGGUUUUGGACCAGUUGAAGAGAGACCAAACUGCGGACAAAAAAGACAUACUUGCAACAGGUGGUGGCACAUUUAGGCCUCGUCUCACAGAUGUAGGGGCACAAAUGUUGAGUUUGAUUGGCAAUCAAAUCCAACCUUUACCCAACAGUUGUGACAGUGCAUCUGGUUUCUUCACAUCUGUUGCACAAGACAGUCAAGUGGAAGUAGAUUACCUACAAUUGGAAGACACAUAGCAGACGUCCAAUGUACCCUCUACUUCCACUGUGCUGCUCAGUACACCCACGACAACUGCUGUCCUGCCCAAGAAGAAAGCCAAGAUGUCUCAGGCUCGUUCAAAAAAUAAAAAAGUAAAAGAUAUAGGGAGCGAAACCCUUAAUGUAUCUUUUACAAAAAAAAUUGAAACAGCAAGACUAGAAAAAAGAAGUAAGAUAGUAUUUUUCAACAAGAAAAAAAGAAAUUUUAGAAGUAGAGCUUCAAAUAAAAAAAUUCGAUCUCAAUAAAUUAUUCGGUAAUAGUGGUUAGGUAUGUACCUAAUAAAGUAAUUUUAAAUAAAAAUUGUAAUUUCUUUAAAUAAUAAAAUUAAUAAAAAAUGU
rnacentral:lncRNA from 1 species